rnacentral:pre_miRNA from 1 species
UAUUAAAAAGUUCAUCUAUUUGAUCUAUUAAAAACUAGCGUGGUUAACAAAAUAAUCAAACAGUAACCUAUAGUGUACCACGUGUAUCUCAUGCUAAUGUACAUGAACUAAUUUUUUAAUAGUAAAAAUAGUUAAAAUUUUAAUA